CCUCCGCCGCCUCAGCAGUGGCAGCAGCAUCAACAGUGGAUGAUGCAGUAUCCAGGCGCGGCGGCGAUGAUGAUGAUGCAACAUCAGCAGCAGCAUAUGAUGAUGUAUCCUCACCAAUACGUUCCUUACAAUCACGGCGGUCAUUAUCACCACCACCCUCCUCACCUCCAAUACGCACCGUAUCAUCAGCAACACCACAACCACCACCACCAAAAGCCACCACAUGAGCGUGGUGGAUCUGGAGAAGACGUCAAGACUCUAUGGGUUGGUGACCUUCUUCAUUGGAUGGACGAGACUUAUCUCCACACCUGCUUUUCUCACACCGGCGAGGUAAUAAAUGAAUGGUUGUUACGUGUGAAAAGUGAUUUAGUUUCCAGAUCUUGGUCUUGUUCUUGAUGUUUGGUUUUGAUUCAUUGUCUCUAGCUAAGGACUUUUUUUUUUGGCAAGUUUUUUUUUUUUGAAACUGCUUUUAUUGGAUAAGAUCCAAUGAUUAUUUAUUGAAUUUUUCAUAGAAGAAACAAAUAUGGUAAUGGAAAAAUAUUAUUUGACUUGAAAAUGACAUGACACCUUCAGACUUCGUUAGGCAAAAAGUAUUGUACUACGUUGCCAUGUUGAGAUGAACUUUUCUUGCUUAGGAGAAAAUAAUAAAAACAUGUAAAAAGAUUAUCAAUUUGAUAAUAUUUUUUCAAUUAUUCAUACUUACAUAUUUGUUCUAAUGCAGUUCUGUUUUGUUUUUACUGGUGUUUAGGUUUCUUCUGUGAAAGUUAUUCGUAACAAGCAGACUCUUCAGUCAGAAGGAUACGGUUUUGUUGAGUUUCUUACACGUGCUGCAGCUGAAGAGGUACUCCAGAGCUUUAGUGGUUCUAUAAUGCCAAACUCUGAGCAAGCCUUCCGUCUAAACUGGGCGUCUUUUAGCACCGGUGAGAAGAGAGCAGUAGAGAAUGGUCCUGAGCUGUCCAUAUUCGUUGGAGAUUUGUCUCCGGACGUGACUGAUAGUAUGUUGCAAGAGCUGUUUGCUGAGAGAUAUCCCUCUGUUAAAAGCGCCAAGGUUGUGAUUGACUCCAAUACUGGCCGAUCUAAAGGUUACGGUUUUGUUAGGUUCGGUGAUGAAAGUGAGAGAUCAAGGGCUUUGACUGAGAUGAAUGGAGCUUUGUGUUCCAACAGGCAGAUGAGAGUUGGUGUUGCGACUCCUAAAAGAGCUGUUGCUAAUCAGCAACAACAUUCUUCACAAGGUGACUACACAUAUCUUAUAAAGAUAAUAAUGCUUCUUGUUAACAUUCAACAAAGUUUUAUGUUUUGGUUGGAGUAGCUGUGAUAGUGGCUGGAGGACAUGGAGCAAAUGGUUUCACCGCUCAUGGGUCACAGUCUGAUGGUGAUUCAAACAACUCAACAGUGAGUUAUCAGAGCUUUUCCCUCGGCUAGCAUCAUUCAAGCUCUGUUUCAUUUUCUCUUUUAUCUACUGCAGAUAUUCGUUGGCGGACUUGACCCUGAUCUUACAGAAGAAGACCUCAGACAACCUUUUACACAAUUUGGCGAGGUUGUUUCAGUGAAGAUCCCACUAGGCAAAGGAUGUGGAUUUGUCCAACUUUCUAACAGGUGCGGUCUUUUACCUAGAAGUGUGGGCUUGUCAGUCAUAAGACUGAGCCAACCCAAUGUUUAAUCUCAAAGCUACUUGCUGCCUUUGGUUGUGACAGGAAGAGUGCUGAUGAUGCAAUCCAGAGUUUGAACGGGACAGUCAUCGGCAAGAACACUGUCAGGCUCUCUUGGGGAAGAACCCCGAACAAGCAGGUAAAUGUUUUUUUUACUAUCUGUAGACUAACAUCAAUUAUUUUGGGAGGGUCAAACUUUGUCAAGAGGGGUUUCUAUAAUCCUGGUUGUGUCAUUAUAUAAUAAAACUUAAAGUUAGUGGUAGACAAUAGGCAAAUAGCUGGUGGUGGAAUCUAUCUUGCUCUUCCCUUCGUUUUCUCUUUUGAUUCUACAAGUUGUAAUAUCUAACACCCAACUUGUCACUUCCCUUUAACAUGGUCAAAGUCUUGAUUUUCUUGUUCCCCAUAUUCGUACGACUUAAAAAUGAUUUUAAAAAAAACUUGUUCCCAUUCCUGUCAAGUUCUUGUUUCAUGUCGCACAUGUUCGAUAAAUAUCGACUCUAUCUAUCUCUCUUAAUGUGUUGUUGUCUACUUUGUGGCAGUGGAGAGGAGACAAUGGAGGAUACUCGCGAGGACAAGGUUACAACAACGGAGGCUACGCUAACCACCACGACUCCAACAACUACCCCGCCGAGACUUGAAGAGAAUAAGAGUCUCGAAGUGUUCAUGGAUCAUAGUGGUUUAAGCCUUCUGUGAUUCAUAACACGUCAAUCAAAUGCUAAAAACUUGUAGUCGAAAAAGAGAAUUUUGUUAGAUUUGAUUUGGUUUUGAUAGACUGAAACAUGUUGGUUACUGGUGUCUUGUCUGAAGACUAACAUAAUGGUUUGUUCUCGUUAGAUAAUUUCGCCUUGCAAGUUAAAACCUUUAAAUUCUCACAACAGCUCCACUAUAAAUACAGCUCAUAGCUUAACCCUCGACAAAGGGACCUGUGGGGUCACGUGACCCCUUUAAAUUUCGGAAGAGUGAGGCAGUUUUAUUAGUAUGGGCAGAGUUUGAGAAAAGCGUUGGCUUAUGAUUUGCAACAGAGGCUCUCUUCAAGGUGGAAAAAACAUGACAGUUCUUGGUCAAGAGCUGGACCUUCUUGUUAUUGUUAUCAUCAUGCAAGAAGAAUGUGUUCUCAAGUGUCAUUUGUAGAUUCAAUCCUCUUGAGAGAAAGAUUUAACUUUUUAGCUUCAACUUGAAGGAUUCAGAAUCUCUCUUCCAUUAAUCUUUUAAAAACAUCACUAUGGAUUGUUGUCUGAUUACAACUUUCAAGGCGUGUCUGAAUUUAACAGUAGUCUUCUUUUGUUGAAACUUUUGCAUUUCUUUUAUAACACUAUCAACUUGGGAAUGAAUGAGUCUCUUUUAAUACAAAUUCCAGUUUACAAUUCCAUAACAAGAUCAGUAAAGUUCUUUGACAUCUCCAUUCCCUAUGUAUGCUUUUGGAUCUGUCAUAACGCCCCCAUCACCGUGUUUUAGCUAAAGGCUGUCGAGUAGAGACACCGUGCAACAGUUUGACAAAACCCAAGAAGCUUAGCUUCCCAUCAGUGUGUCUAAUCCAGUCAUGUAGGAUGGUAUGGACUGGUAUCGAUGAUCCAACACCGAGUUCCUACAAAAAAAACAUGUAUGUUCCCUUAAGCACUUGGCUGAAAACAUAGUGAAUUGAAAGGGACAAUGAGAAACUUACGGAAGCGAGUUCUUCGAUGACGAUAACUCGGUUCCCAUUCAUCUCAAAGAGCUCAUAAGCAUGGCGAACGCUCUGCUCCCAACAAUCAAGUGACUCAUGCUGAUGAACACUAAUGGAAGCUGCACAAAACUCUUCAAAAUCCAUCCCUUUGUAUUCAAGUCCAUUUAACUGUGUCAUUCACACCCAAACCUUUUGUUAACCAAACAGAUUUAAGCAAGAAGAGCUGUAAACAAAAGCAGGACAAUACCAAUGCAAGAAAGUCAGGUAUCCUUGAUUCUUUCAUUGCUUCGGUCGCAUUUGAAGCAAGUGCCUGUCCAACAGAAAAUGAGAAUCUAACUUUGAGCUGUAUGUUAGAAUGUGUGAGAAAGAGAGAAGGUACAUACCGAUCUGAUGUUAUCCAGAGUGAUGAGGCCGUUUUUGUUAGGUGCUAAAAGCGCAAACUGUGCUUUCAGAUAAAGAAGUUCAUCUGUAAUCAAUGUCUUGGACAGAGCCUGGAGGGAGUAUAUAAGAGUUAGCAUCAACACUAACAAUGUGAAACAAAUAACACAAUGAAGAGAUUGCAAGGAAAAAUGUACCAUCAAAGCAGCUUUGCGCAAAGAAGAAGAUUUCAAGUAUGCUUUCAUCUGCCUGAAGAUCAGAAUAUCAAAUGGGAUAUUCAUCUUCUUACAUCCCGCGAUCCAUGGAUGCACUGGAAAAAUGUAUUCAAGUUGAUCAGUAUUCAAGAUGAAUCAAAGAAAGAUUGAGGAGAUGUUUAGAGUUACUGACUCAAAGCUUGAGAGGCUGUCAUUCUCUUUCUAGGAUCUUUGUAUAGUAACCGUUUAACAAAAUCUUUAGCUUCAAAGGACAGUGAAGGCCAAGGAGGUUCACUAAAACUCGGAUCAGUUUUAAGAACUGCUCUGAAGAUCCCUGAUUCAGUUCUUGCCCAAAAGGGCCGGCUUCCACAUAGGAGAAUGUAUGCUAUGACUCCUAUACUCCAAACAUCCGCUUCCGUGGUGUAAGAUCUGUGUAGAACUUCAGGGGCUACGUAAUAUGCACUGCCCACUAUAUCGUUUAGUCUCUCGUCUGGUCUGACAAAGUCUGAUAAACCAAAAUCUAUCACUUUCAACUGAGAGUUGUCCUCCUUGGAAGUGUACAAGAAGUUCUGUUACAUGAAAUGGGAAGUUUGGAAUCAAAAUCUUUAUUUGGGGUUUAAAAGGGAAUUUAAAGGAUGAGAAUAGAGGUUCACCUCUGGUUUUAAAUCUCGAUGAACUACUCCUUGGAGAUGACAGAAAGCUACAACGUUAAGGAUCUGUGUAAGCACUGCUUUUGCAUCAUCUUCAGUGUAUUUCCCUCCCCUAAAAGAGAAUGUGACAUAGUCAGACCAAACGUUAACAAGUUUCAUGGCAAAUGAUUCUCUUUGUUUUAAUAGCAGACCUUGCUAGUAUUCUGUCAAGGAGUUCACCACCUCCACAUAACCUGAAAGUUCCAAGAAAGUAACUGUUUAUAAACGGCUGAAACUUUUUUGAGGUAAGGCAAGUCAAUAAAAUAUGAAUCUGAAGAUAUAGUAGAUUAUUUUCCUGUAUAUAUAACUAAAAUCUAGUUGAUUCAAACAUUGUAUGUAGGAUGAUAGUAAUGUGUUCUUACUCCAUAACGAUGUAGACGUUAGCAUUGUCCUCAAACGCAUCGUAGAAUUGUACUAGAUUGUUAUGUCCAGAUAACGCCCGCAGGAUCUUAACUUCUCUUCUUACAUCCUCUAUAGAUAUUGCAGUUGUCAUCUGCCAAACCAAAUACUAAUGAGCAACAGUCUAUUAUGGAUUAAGCUUACACUCUAACAAAUUCAGAAGUCAGAUAAGUUGAUUGCAUGAUACAAAAUUGCAUUAAGGACCAUAGAUACUUCUUCAUUUCCUUGAUGACAUAAGCACAAAAAUGACUAUGCUUCCAACGAAUUAUUGACCAAGUUAUAACGUGUAGAACCUUUUCACCAGGAAAAAAAGUCAGCAAAAUUUACAUCUACUACCAUUGAAAAUCUUCACCUUUGACAAAUAUAUAAAACUUAUCAAAAACUUUACAACCUAAUCCGAAUUCAAAAAAACAUGUUUGUUUUUUCUAUUAAUUUCUAAAGCAUAACAGUCACACACCCCAUUUAAUUUUCUAACAAGAAAGACAGUAAGUUCAUAGAGAAGAAAAGAACAUAUCAAGAGAGCCUAUGAAGAGACCAACACAUCUGUAGAAUUAUCAAAUUUCAGCUAACACCUCACCAAACAUCAAACAGCAUGCAAACUUAAAACCAAUUGAAGAACCUUAGAACUUAAGUGUUAAGUUGUAAAGCUUUGACCUUAGAUUUAGGGAUGACUUUAACAGCAACCUCAUGAUCCUUGAGCUCUCCUUUCUUGAACUUAGCAGAGCAAGUAUACCCAAAAUGCCCUCUCCCAAUCUCUUCCCCUAACUCCAUCCUACUCUGAAACUCCUUUGAGAAUCCGAAUCUCUUGUCCAGCCCCACCUCCUCUCUCUCCUUCUCCUCCUCCGUCUGCUUCUUCUCCGCCGGCAAAGUAGCUUCCUUUUUCCCCUUCCUCCGCCGCAGAACAUCCCGGAUGUGUUUCGCCGGCGACGGAGGGUGGAAAGCACGCGCGAGCUGACGGAGCGGAGUGCUGGUAACGCUCUUGCUCUCUCCUCCUCCUCCUCCGUCGCGGCUCUUGUUACGGCGGUGCCUGGCGGGGCUUGGAGUGUAGAAUGGGAGGAAAGGAGAGGACUUUACGGCGGUUGAGGUACGGACCGGUGAUUUGCCGGGAUGGGCAGGGGUAGAAUCGUCAUUUUGUGGGAACGCGUCUUUGGGUUUCACGGAGGAGGAGGGUUUGGAGGUACAACCUCCCAUCGUCUUCUCCGGUUGACAGUCAACUUGAAAGAAAAAAAAGAAAUUUAAUUUUGAAAAAUCAAAAAGACAGAAGAAGAAGAGGAGAAUUGGGACAGUGAGCUUUAUGAGAAUCACAGCAAAGACAUUGAAUUGAAGGUCUGGUCUUUUAGAGAGAGGAAGUGAGCUGUAGAGGAGAGAGAGGCCACAUGGCAUAAUCUGCGGGUGUGUUGAUCUGAUGAAGGUAGUAGAUGUGGAUUGGUGGAGAUUUAGUUGCUUUUUGCCACGUGUUUUUGUUUUUGAAAAUUUUAUUAAAAUUGUUUUGUUUUCUUGUUUUACUUUCGGUUUAAUUUAUCACUAAAUAUUUGUCUUUUUUCUUGUCUUUUAUUUUGUGGGGGCCUUAUAGUUUUUUGUCUUUUGUAUUUUGAUACUUUAUUUAGAGGAAUAUCAAACCAUUAAAAAGUUUCACAUAAAUUGGUGAAUUGUGUAGAUCUUAGUGUUUAUGGAAAACAAUCUUACAGAAAUGAUAAGAAAUAAAAACCGUUUCUCAAUCUAGUAAUAAAUACUAAUCAUACUGUUUCCAGAAAAUAAAAUAAAAAACUGUUUAAAAAUAUUUAUAAGUUUUCAACAUAUUGUUUAUCAAUUUAAAAUCACUAAAUUUAUGGAAUUAUUAUUGAUACAAUUUAUUUAAAUUAGUUAAUCAUACAAAAUGAUGCACGUAUUCAAAUUUUAUUUAUUUUCUUAAUAUAUGGGGAAAGUGAGAUUCAGAAAAGAAUGUAGUGAUGAAAGAUUGAAAAAAAAAUCAUUACUAGGAAAAUAGAGGGAGUACACAUCUAGAUGAUCCAAAGAGAUUAUGUAAAUAUAAUUUAUAUAUAUAUAUAUAGCUUUUUUCAACUUUGUUAAAUAUUUGACAAUAUAUAUAGUUGUUUUUUUUUUGACGAAAACAAUAUAUAUAGGUGAUGAUUGGUUCGACUGUGGCUUAAAAAAUUUAACUGUAGAUGUUUAGUUGUAGAUAAAUUGGUUGUAGUUGUAAAGUUGUUGCUGUAGACUUUUUCUGCAGAGACUUUUGUUGUAGUUAAAUUUGUUGUAGCUGUAAGUUAUAGGCUGUAGAUAUUUUAAAAUAAAAUAUAUGAAAUAUGUGUUGUAUAUAUAAAAUUAUUAUUUUAUGAAUUAAAAUAAUUUAUAUUAAUAUUUUUGUUUAUAAAUUAUCAAAAAAAUUUGUAAUUUAAAAAGUGAUAUGCAAAUAAUAUUUAUAUUAUUUAAAUAUCUUAAUAAUUAAAAAAACACUCAAAUUCAAAAUUAAAAUAUUUAUAAAAGUUUUUAUUAUGAUUAUAUAAUUUAUUUGAUAUUAUAGAUAUCUUUUUUUACAUUUUACAGAUUCUACAACCUAUAAAAAUAUGAUGUAGCAUUUUUGCCUAAAAUGCAUAAUAAAAAGUUUUGCUUUAUUUUUUUUGCUGUAGCUUUAAAAAUAAAGCUAAAGCAUGAUUGGUAAAAUUAAAUAAAAACUUGAUGUAGACUUUAAUUUUUAAAAGUAAAGCUAAAGCAUGAUUGGUAAAAUUUAGUGAUUUAAAAAUAAAUAAAGCUAAAGUAUGGAGAUAAAGCCCAACCAAUCACCCCCAUAGUUGUUGGAUCGUAUCUUUUAAGAAAUAGACCCAAAAACGGAAUUCGAAACUCGCAAACAACAAUAACAAUCCCAAGCUAAGUUACCAAGCUACAUGCGUUUAAUUCGCUUAUGGGUUAAGGGCUAUCACAUAAGUAGUUUUAAAAAAAAUAUAUAUAAUGGAAACAAAAAGUGGUCCACUGUAACAAUUUCAGAACGAUAGCUAGCAUGUGGUUGGCGGUAUAUAACAAGUUUGUAAUUUUGUAGAUAAUUUACUAAAGAUUAUCUAUCAAGCAUGAAUCAUAGUCCCUAGUCCCUGCAUGGAUUUACAUUUAUAGUUAUCUUUUUUUCUAAUCUAUCUUCUCUAGUUAGUAAAUACCAUAUAGUCAGCGAAGAAGCUUGAUUUGAAAAUCUAUCUCUAGCUAACUGUAAUCAAAUAACUUCGCUCUCAAAAUCAAGAUAACUUAACAAAUAUAUGUAUCACUAAUUGAUUGUAUGUACUAUGUACAUAUCUGCUCUUUUUCUUGGAAGAAGUUGAUAUAUGUAAUGUAACCCAACAACUUCAUUGUAUCUGGACAGGAUGUAUUUCAAUUUUCAAAUGCUUAUUAGAUCGAUCAGCAUCUUCAAGAAGAAUUAACUGGUCCACAUCUCUAGUUUAUUCUCACUAACUCUUGAUUUGAUUACCGAAUAUUACAAGAUCUUAGAAGUUGCGUAUUUUUAUGUUCAUCUUCCCAUUUUAGUACAUCUGUAUAGACUAAGACCGUGGUUAUUGGUGUUUCGUGUUUGAUUUAGUUCAUAUUUCUUGAUCAUUCGUCUUUUCAUUUAAUGGCAAUAGUGAUUCGUUUUCUACAACCAAUAUUCGAGUCACAUAGUCAAAAUAAAUAGGUGAGAAUGAUUACACAACAGGGUUGCAGUCCUUGUGCUAUAAACCCUUCAUUAUUCAGUUAAUCUCACAAAGAAAUAAAUAAAUCAAAACAUACAAAAGAAAUUGCCCAAGUUAGAGAAUAAAAGAAAUGCAAAAAGAAAGAAAAAAACACUCAAAAAACUUCACCAUGCCUUCUCAGUUCAAACACUAUAUAGUUACCUCAUCAUCCCAAACUCAUGUCCUUGCUUCUGUGAACUCAUAUCUCAAGAAACCAACCCACAUGUAUUAUUUGGUUAAAGACUGUUAGAUAAUAAUAAAUAGUAGUAGUCCUUCACUUAGAGAUUGUUAGAUAAGACUGAGAUUGACGGGUUUGCCACGUCCCAUGGUGAACCCUCUUGUACCAUCAGGCAUCCUUGGUCCCUUUGUUGCUGUUUUUGGAGACGAAGAUCCGUGUAAACCUAGGCUCGGUGACAUUGGGCCGAGGCUGAGUCCCAUCCCGAUCCCGAAGCUACGUUCUCCUCCUCCUACCACAUAGCUUCUUGGAGACCGUCCUCUUCCUUUUCCUCUCCCUUUUCCCCACAGUCCUCCAAGAGUGUUCUCAUCACCCUAAUGUGCACACCAAGAAAUAUUUUUUUUUUCCUUAAAAGGAAAGGUUUAAUUUGAAGGGGAUUAAGCAACACUAACCUCGUUAUCAAGCUGAUGCUCGGUUAAAUGGAGACGUGGAGAGUCUUCUCCUGAUUCAUAAGGACUUUCAUCAUCUAUGAGGAUGCCAUCAAAGUUUCUUCUGUGCUUGAGCACUGAUUUGGGCUGUAAAAAUACAAAUUAAUCUCAAGAGAGGGAUUUUGUAGUUUCGAGAAAUAUAUGUUGGUUGUUAAACAUCAUAAGUGUGUAAUGGAUUUACCGAGCAUCUAAGAAGCAGCCUCACACGAAGUCCUUUCCUCCAGUUUCUUUCAUCGUUCAGCUUCUCCACCUGGUAUGGAUCACAUCUUAGAAACUUAUGAGUUUUGGAUCAAAGAAGAACGUGUGGAAGAAAAGAUGAACUCACAGCUUUAUCCGCGACAACAGUGUGGUCAUACUCGAUCAGUGCGUGAAUCUUUGGAUUAAAAACAAACUUUUAAGUCCAUGAAAAGCUCAAGAAGCAGAAGAAAUUAUUAGAAGCAAGUCUUGGUACUACUUACUUUGUUGCUCAUCAAGAAAUCUCCUUUUGGACGAGAGGAGUUUGAUUCUGGAGGAUGACAGAUUCUAAUCGCUUUAACGCUGAAACAAAUUCAUACUUGUUGUUUGGUUAGAAAAAAAGGCAUGUUUAAGUGAAAGUAUAUGGAGUAGAAUGUUUCUUACUUUCCAACAACUCCAAAGAUCUUCUCAAGGUUCUGGUAGGAGUGAUCAUCUGGUAGAUUCUCUGCAACAACGGUCCGGCCCUGAAGCGCAAUAAACAGAAACAAGAUGUAUUUAAUAUGUAUAUAUAGUUGAUUAUAAAUAUAAUGAAGGCUUAGUUACCUGCAAAUCCUCUCUGUCUCUAUCAGUAAAUGGAACUUUACGCUUAACUUUCUUGUUGUCUUCACUCACAACCUUCAUUUUGUUGUUAAAAAAUCUCUCAGUAUAUAUACUCAAGAUCUUAUGAUUAGCAUGUUGGUAUGUAGAAAGAAAAGCUUACGAGCUUAGAGGACGAGCGUAGAGCCAAUGAAACUAAGUGGUGGUUACUCGUUAAAGCCUUGAUCUUCUUGGUCGAAGCAAUGUAAGAUAUUGGCACUGAUUUUAAAUAGAGAGACAAAUGAAUGUAAAAACAAAACAAAACUACGUUUUGAAUAUAUUUAAUUACAACUGUUUCAGAAAACUGAAGGCUUACCAUAACCUUCAGGGUCUUUGUUCAUGUGCUUUGAGAUGGACUCAUUAGCUAAGAGACUCAUAUCCGUGAACUGGUACUCAACCUAUACUUUGAAACCAUAGUUAGUUUCUUGUGAGUCAAGAAAUUGAAUUGAAAGGCUAAACUAGCGUCGGUUUAAUCUUAUUUGAUACAUCAUUAUCUGCAGCUACUCGAAUUAAUCAACACAAUAUUUAUAAAAAAAAUCUGUAAAUAUGAUCUCAUGACAUAAUUAUUAUCUCACAUUAUAACAUAAUACACAUGUGAAAAAAUAUUGAUAAUUGAUAUUGACAUUUAAUCCGAACAUUGAAUAGAUUUGACAUCAAAACAUCAAAGUUUCACUGCAUAGAUUUGACAAAUUUAUGAUCAAUUUAAACACUUACACAUAUAAAAAUUGAAAAUGAUACUUUUAACACAUAAAUUUCAUUUUUUCUUAAAAAUAACACAAAAAUAAAAAAAAACAUUUGCAAUUAAACAAAACGAUAAUUAAGUAAAAAAAAUAACGCGGGAAACAAAAGAAGUGUUAACCUGUUUGACGAUCUUAAGGCGGAGAUCAUCAGAGAGCAACGAAGAAGAAGGAGAAGAGUUCUGAUUCACCGGAAACUGAACCGCCGGACUCGGAACGUAAUACGCAGCCGCCGGAUCGUGAACGUGUGGAUGCUGAGCAGGAUCUCCUCCUCCGACGAAGAACCAAUCCGACGCCUGAGUACCGACCGCCGUCCCUCCUCCGUCGCUGUAGUGAAAGCAAGGAUAAAAGUAACCGGAGAUCGGAGAAACCUGCGGUGUUGCCACGGCGGCACGCGAUUGCGGUACGAACUCCGGUGCUUCAGCGUUGAAUUUGAACGAUGACGCCUGAGCGCCGGAAGAUCCGCCGCCUCCUCCUCCUCCUCCGUCUGAUACUUUCUUAUCCGCCGUGACGGAUUCAACAUCUUCUCGGUGCAUCUGCGCCAUUUUCCACUCACUAUGCAAAACUCUCUUUAACAAAAUUAAUAUUUUUUUGGUGUUUAUAUUUUUUCAAUCUAACAAAAUUAAUAUAUUUUUUUGUUGUUUGUGGAUUUGAUUUCUUCUUCUCUAGUUUUUUCUUACUACUUCCCCUCGAAUAGUUAUAAAACAACGAUUUUUUUGAAGCCCUUGGCUUUUCGCGCAAAUUAUGGAUUUGUAACGAGAAAAACUAGCUUCUAGCUUUGACUUUGUACUUUUACUAAUUUUUAAUAACUUUUAAUUUUCACUUCCUAAAUGAGAUUAGAAACAUAAAAUCUUUUAUAUAUAAAAUCUUUUAUAUAUUAAAAGAAAAGCAUUACAACAUUUGAGGUAGUCAUGUGUCAUCACCAUAAUGAUUCUUAAAACCUUAGAAAAAUAAGUUGGUAUCUAUCUAAAUAUAUGAUAAUAUUUUUUAUUAAACUAACUAUAAAUUAAUUAUUAAUGUUCUCAAUUUUGUUCUUAAAUAAAAAUUAUAAAAUUACCUAAUGUGACUAAAGUAUAUAUGACAAUUAAUGAUAUUGAAUAAUAAAGAUUUGAUACAAAUUAGUGUAUUUUCUAUCAUUUUUGUUUAACUUAAGUUAUAUUUUGAACUUUUUAAAAUAUCUCACAUUGAAAUUUUUAUGAUCCAUGAUUUAAUUUUUUAUUUAUGAAAAGAUACAAAUUAUUACAAAAUCAUGUAAGUAGAAAGUCUUAUAUAUAUUAAUAUCUUUUAAUUAAACUAUAGAAAAAUUUCCUUAGAUAGUCUUUUUUAGUUUAUUUUCGCAAAAAUAGACUUCAAGGAAGAAAAUGACCAAAAUAGGUUUUAUUAAAGGGAAAAUAUGCAUUUAUACCCAAAGAUUAACUAAUCUAGACUUAGGGUUUAGACUUAAGGGGUGGAGUUUUGGGGAUAAGAUUUCAAAUUAAAAGAAAAUUAAAAAAAAAUUAAAAUUUUCAAAACAAAAAUGUGUUAUUUUGGUCAUAUUAUUUUUUAGUACUAUUUUUAUGAUAAAAAAUUAUUAAAGGCAAUUUGAGAGAAUUGCCCUAAACUAUAUACCAUAUAAAAUACAUAAAGAUUUUAAUUUUGAAAUUUGUUUUGAAGAAUUUUUUUUGAUAAAAUCUUUGAAUACAUACUGACAACUCAAUAUUUAAAAUUUGCAUUGAAUGUUUAUAAAAAUUAUAAAUUACUAAAACUUUCAAAACAUUGCACAAUGAAAAUUUGUUAUUAGCGAUUUAAAAUUUUUGUUAUAAAGAGAUACAAAUAAGUAGAACGCAUCAUUUAAAAAUAUAUCAAUAUUUAAAAUAUACUACUUAUGUAUGUAUAUAUUAUGUAAAUUUAAUUAUAUAAAAUAGAAAACAAAAAAUAUGAUCGUUUGGAUUAAUAAAAUUUAUUUACGUAUUCACACUAGUUUAAUUAUAUAUGUAAUAGUUACUGACUUUUUCAUUAUCCAAUAUAUAUAUAUAUAUACAUUAUUUUAUAAUAUAUAAAAAAUAUAUAUAAUACAUAAAAUAAUAUAUAUAUAUAUAUAUAUAUAUAUACGAUGUUCGUUCCGCGCAAGAUGCAAAUAUUAAUCUAGUUUAUAUUAUUACAUGUCACUUAAUUGAUAGAUAUGCAAUCCAUAAAAAAUGAAAGAAAAACUGCUCAAUCAUAGACCAGUCAAAAUUUGAAAAAAAUCAUAUUUCUAGUGUAAACAUCUUUUAAAGACUAUAAACAGAUUAAUUACAUUGUCAAAUGAUAUUGCUCUCUACCGAACUUUAGUUUCUAGUGAUUUUAAAUACACAUUCUCAAUAUCAUUAACCACCAACCAGUUGGUACUUAAUUAGUUCAAACUUCUUUUAGUUUCCUAGUGUUAAUUAAAUUACUAACCUCUCAAGUUUAUCAGCAAAAAGUAAAUGAAAAGUCCUACUAUAUGUUUCUGAUGACUGAAGAUGGUGAGUUUCGAAUCACAAUAAACAUGGUGAAUAUCAAAACAUCGAAGAGUAAAUGAAAUUUUUUUUUAACCAAUUCUAAUAGCUCUCUCUCUCUUUUAAUGAGUCUCACAGACAAGUAUCAUCCAAUAGGAUAUUCAUAAGGAAAUCUUCAAAAGGCACUUAAUAGAAAAUUAAAAAUUUUUAAAAGCCAAACUAUACCUUGUCCCUCAUUCUUGUUGCCCGAAUACUUGUUGCCCUAACUGUUGCAGUAAUUCUCGAUGUUGUUGCAGUUGACUUGGUUCAUUUAUUGUUGGGCUCAGUUUCAUAAUUUGUGGUUGCAGUAGCUAUUGCAUUUGCGCUUGCCUUAUUUGCUGUUGUUGUUGUAUCAUUUGUUGUUGUUGUUGUAUCAUUUGCUGUUGCAGUUGACUUGGUUUCAUAACUUGUGGUUGCAGUAACCCUUGCUGCUGUUGCUCUUGUUUUCGCCAUGCUUGAUGUAGCUGUAACAUUUGAUACCUUUGCUGUUGCAUUAUUGCUUGCACUGAUCCUUGUUGCCCUAAUCCGCGAUGCCAUGUUCCUUGUUGACUUUGCAUCGAUAUUUGUGGUGCUUGUAGCACAGUGUUAGUUGGGUGUAGGCUUGGCUUCUGAGAGACUCUUAUCAUCUCUUUCGGAAAUACGCCCACAUUUGUAACUCCUGUUUGAUUCGUAACAUUCUUUAGUUUUUCUGAAACACUGUCAUGUUCCACCUCAAGAGUCUUGAUAGCUAUCAAGAAAAAAAAAAGAAAACGGGUUAGUUAUAUAUAGUUAUUUUACUUCUCAAAUCAGUAGAAUAAUUCAAAAUAUAAUUUAUAUAGAAUGAUCAAUCGAUCAUGAUGAUCCAUAUAUUGUGAAUUAAACGAAAAAUGAAUAUUACCAUGAUCUAAGAUUCGUUUGGAGUUAGGAAGUCCGAGAUCCUUGAUCUUACCCAUCUCCUCCUUGAGAGAGACAAGAUACAUAUGGAUCUUCACGUAUUUUCCAUGAAGUGUUAACGUUUGAGAUUUUUCAAUGUCUUCCAUGAACAACUUCAAUGGAUCACUCGUUGGUGGCGUGGGAGCACUAUAUAUUAGAAUGCUCAGAGGUUAGAAUAAAUGAUUUUGUACAAGUUAUAUGAUAUUAAUUGGGCGAAUAUAUCAUGAUUUCAAACGCCUGGAUGACUAAAAUCAGAACGUUCUCGGAUGAUUUGAGCCGCAAGAGGCCUAGCUAGGUGGUCAAUGUUUACAUAUUUAACAACAAAAAUCAUAACAAAUAGGUAAAAAGAGGGAAAGGAAGAGGGAAUACGUGUUUGAUGAUGGUGAUGGUGAUGUGCAAUUGUUCAUCGUUGAUACUAAGUCUUCAAUCUCCGAUUAAUAAGAACGUUCUCGGAUAAUUUUAGCUGCUAUGGGCCUAGCUAGGUCGUCUAUGUUUACAUAUUCAAAAGAAAAAACAAUUAGGUCUAUGAUGAUGAUGGCCCUGUGCAAGUAUUCAUCGUUAAAGUUAUACGAGUUUAGAAAAAAACCUUGUAAGCUUUUCUCUAAGAAACCCUAAAUUUGAUCCCGUCUUGCUUUUAUUCUUUCUUUCAACCCCAGUACUAGUAUUUAUAGUAUAGGAGUAUUAUUAUUAUUUUUAUUAUUUUUAAAUUAUUUCCUUUUUUUCGUCUCAACCUUGAAUCUUGAUGACUUCGCAGCUUUGGGUGGGGAGCUAUUUCUUAAAGAAUCGAAUCAUAAAUUAGUUAGUUGUUGACAAAAAGAAAAUAUAUAUCCAGUGAAUUAAAAUAUAUAGUGUACAAAAAAAACUCUUAAGACGACAUAUAGGUCCUCUAUGGCAGAAUAAUUUUAGAAUAAUAAUAUCAUUAUUUCUUGUUUAUAGGCAAAAUUCUUUGUAAAGAUUUGACUAUAAGCUUUGUGAAAGGCUAUGACUGUGCAUUGAUAGGCUGAUGAGAGUUCGUUAACCAACCGGUAACCAUAUUUUAUCCCCUAUAUAUUAUUUGAGAAACAUUGCAACAUAUUUUUGUAGCCACAUGUCAUCACUAGAAUGAUUCUUAAAAUCCUUAGAAAAAUAGGUUGGUCCAUCUAAAUAUAUAAUAAACUUUUUAUUAAACCACAAUAAAUACAUUAUUAAUGUGCUUAAUUAUUUCCUUAAAUAAGAUUACGGAAUUGCCUAAUGUGGCUAAAGUAUAUAUAUGACAAUUAACGAUUUUGAAUAAUAAAGAUUUGAUAAAAAUAAGUGUGUAUUAUAAUUAUAUUUGUUUAAUUUUAAGCUAUUAAAAUAAAUUAAACAAUCAUAGUAACCAUAUAAUAAAAAUUAAAAAAAUUAUUUAUAUAUUAUAUUUUGAAUUUUUAAAAACGAGUAUAAAUUACUAAAAUUGUUAAAAGUUUCACAUUCAAAUUUUGUGAUCUAUGAUUUAAAACGUUUGUUAUGACAUGAUACAAAUAAUAAAAAAUAAUAUAAGUUGAAAGUCUCAUUUAAUAUGUAUCAAAAAUAAAAGAUAUAUAAAUAUAUGUAUCAUUUUAAAUUAAACUAUAUGACAUAUAAAAAUACAUAAAUAUCUUAAUUUUGAAAUUUACUUUGAACAUUUUUUUGAUAAAAAAUUUGAAAAAAUAUUGACAACUUAAUUUUUAAAUUUUAUAAAUUACUUAAAACAUUAAUCCACAGUGAAAAUUUUGUUAUCACUAAUUUAGAUUUUUUUUUAUAACAGAUACAAAUACAAAUGAUAAAAAUAUGAGCAAAAAGCAUCAUCUAAUAAAUAUUGAUAUUAAAAUAUACCGUAUAUAUGUUACUAUCAUUUAAAUUUAAUUAUAUUGCAUAUCAAAUAGAAAAAAUAUUUGUUUGAUUUAAAAAAUGUAUUUAUAUGUUUGCACCAAUUUAAAUAUAUAAAUAGUAGAUAAUGACUUUUUAAUUAUUCAAUAUAUAUUUAUUAUUUCAUAAUAUGUUAUAAACAUAUAAUAUAUAAAAUAAUUUAUAUAUAUAAUGUUCAUCCCGCGCAAGGCGCGGGUCUUAACCUAGUAUCAGCUUAAAUGGCAAAACCUUGUAAAGCAAGCUUUUCGUAUCUUAAUAUAUGAUUAAGAGCUUGAUUGGUUUUCCCGCUACCACCCGCAAACGCAGCUUUUGCGAUUGGUAGCGGUUGACAGCGUUUCGAAACAAUCAUACAAACCGCUACAAAUCGCUUCAAACCGCUCCGAACCUCUUAAAAUCAAAAGCUGGUUCCAGCUAGCGUUUGCGGUUGCGGGCGGUUGCGGGAGGAUAAUUUUUUUUUCUUUUUUUUAAAAACCAUAUAAAUACAAAAAUAAAAAUAAAAAUAAAAUUUUUAAAAUAGAAUUAUAAAAAUACUAAAAUAUAUCUAUUAUAUUUUAAUUAAUAUUAUAAAAUUUUAAAAUAAAAAUAUUUUCUAUAAUUUAAAAAAUUUAAAACUAUAACUUUGAAAAUAUAAUUUACAUAUUUAUUAUAAUAUUAUGAUUUUUGAUAUUUUUAUAAUUAUAUAAAAUGUAAAUAUUGUUAAUUUAUUAUUUAACCGCUGCUGUAUUUGGUAGUUAACCAGUCAUAAGUAUCCCGCAAACGCACCAAUUUCUAACCGCAGAACCAGUCGUACAAAUCUCUUAAAACCGCUAGAAACCGCAACCACCC
rnacentral:lncRNA from 1 species